GCCACCAAGGCGACGAUCAGUAGCCGGACUGAGAGGUUGAACGGCCACAUUGGGACUGAGACACGGCCCAGACUCCUACGGGAGGCAGCAGUGGGGAAUAUUGCGCAAUGGGGGAAACCCUGAUGCAGCGACGCCGCGUGAGCGAAGAAGUAUUUCGGUAUGUAAAGCUCUAUCAGCAGGGAAGAAACAAAUGACGGUACCUGAAAAAUAAGCUCCGGCUAACUAC
rnacentral:rRNA from 1 species